GUGCAUGCCGGGAUUGCAGCGCUGCAGCCCUGUGACCAAAGAGACCCAGAACGAGUGGCAUCCCAGGAGCCUGUGAGGGGCUUGCAGAGACUUACUGGUUCCAGUAAAAGCCCCAUGUGGAUGCAGUAAUGCUGCCUGAUGGUCCUUGGCUGUAAUAACAAACAGGUCACCAUUGGAGAAGAUGCUCAGGAAGAACAAGCAGCUGCAGUUAACCCUGCUGAAGGUGGCAGAUGGGUCCAGGCUCUUGAGCUCGUCUUGGACAUGGAACAUGUGGAUGCAGGCUUUGAGCAGUGUGUGUAGCUCUUUCAGGAAGGAAGGGAAAAGGGUGUUACCAGGGUCCUACACCCUGGAACUACCCUUCUCGGACAGUAAAUAGUUGGCAGGGUGCGGUCAUGUGUGAUUUUAGUUUUCAACUUUAGGCUUUCAUUUUCAAAUUCCACAAUAAACACAUAAGGUGGGGUUCUGGUUUCAACACACACACACACAAACACACACACACACAUUCUCUCUCUAUAUAUGUCUCUUUCUGUCUCUCUCUCUCUCUCUCCCCUUCCUGCUAGUGGGCAAGGAUCCUUGUUAACAAGAAACCUGCCAAAUGCCUCUGAAGCACAGGCAGGUCUUGGGGAGCCACAAGGCCAAUUCCUCUUUGUACACUAGUGUCUUGGGUAGGCAUAGCCUUCAGAGCUUUGGGGCCUCCACAACCUUGCCCUGCUGUCCAGGGGCAGCCCUCAUGCAAGGGUGUCCUAAGAACUUUUCCGGACCCCCAAGUUCAGCACUGUCUUCCAAUGUGUGUUUCACGAUAUUUUAAUGGUGGUUCUUUUGGGAAAAAGGAAAGGUUCUGUGAUCAAUUAUGGGACACAAUGAGCUACAGAUCUUUUUUACAAUUGCUCUUAACAAGCAGGUAGACCCGGAGAACAUGAGUAGCUUCCCCGUAGGUAACUUGAGUGCAUGAGAACUUUUGCUUUACAACCAUGCCAAUCUCACCUCAGCAGUUGGCAGUGCUGCACUGGGCAGACUUCCCUACUCAAAGGCUGUGAAGCUUUUCUUUCUUUUUUUUUAAUACAUUAUUUUUCUUUAUAGAAUUUUAUUGGGCUGAUAUCAAGCCUGGCUUGGUACUGCCUGAUAUUUUUUAGAAUCAGAACCAUGUUCUUUAACUCACGGGUUGUGAAGUUAGAAGGUGCUGGUGUGACAGCCUGAGAAGCAGAGCUGCGCUCCACUCCCACCUUCAUGUGCUCAUCUGACGCAGAGCCCUCAGAGGAGUGGGGAAGUGCUUCCUGGCCCUGCUUCUGGGGGCCGUCCCCAAGGCAGUCCACCCAACUUCCAAAACAGCCUUCCCUCACGCACAGCCCUGAGCCCUCCUGCCCCUCCUCAAUGUUGCACAUCUCUGAGAAGUGGUCCAGCAUGUUGCUGUCCAGGGGCAGUGAGAAGCAGGUGCAGUGACACAUGUCUUCACGGACCAUGAGCACCGGGUAAAUCUCCUGCACAAUCUCCUUGGGGGACACCUUCAGGGAGAAAGCCCCAACAACUGAUGGCAUGUCACAUGGCAGAAAGCAAUGACUUACCCUUUCCCCAUCCCAAAGUCCUGAGAAUCAUGCCAAAAAUCCUUGGUUUCCCACUUUUUAAAUAUUUUAAAAUUAAAAUCCCAGGUUCCGUGUAUACAUGCCAUGCCCACCUGCACCUGUGUAUGUGUAUGUGUGUGUGUGUGCACGCGCGCAGGACUGAGCCUGGCCCAUUGACUAUUCCUGUAGACCGAGAAAAAUCCCUUUGCAGAGUAAGGGGAGAUGGAAGAAACGAGGGAGAGAAAAUGGCAGCCUUGCCUCCUCCCUUGCCCAGCGCUAAGGUCCCCAGGGCAAAUGGCUUUUGCCUUCAACUUCACCUUAACAACAUACAAACUAUAUCCAUUUUUACUUCCCUCACUUUCUUAACAUUACAAAUUGUAUCCUUAUAUAUGAUGUGUAUUUUCACAGAGAUUUAAGAAUUUAAUGCACCAUUAUAGUAGAAAAUUGUAUAUCUGUGUAUAUAUUUACAUUGAACAGAGAGCUUUAUAUUUUCAUGUGGUUUUAUGAUGCGGUCCAGCAUCAUUUAAUUUUUCAACAUAAUUAACUAUCUUUAGCAUUUUUUUUCCUAGGGUUAUUCUAGUAGUUAACAACCUUAGCUUUUUUAUUUUAAUCUUUGAAAGUCUUUAUUUUUUUCUACUUUUUGAAAUACAAUAUUUCCCAGAUCAAUUAUUAUUGGUUGCUAGUAUUUUUUGUUUCAUCGCUUUGAAAUGUGGACAGUUCUCAGCAUCCCCGCUUUUUCUCCGAAAUGUUUAUGCCAUUUUCUCCCUCUAUUCUUUUUAAAAGACUCUAUCUCUGAAUGUAUUGGUCUACUUGAUGGUGUCCAGUAAGUCUUAUAUUUCACCCGCAUUUUUCCCAUUCUUUAAAAUAUUAGUUUCCAGGACUCAAUAUUUGUGAAUAAUAUAUGUUCAAUUUUCUUUUUUCUGCUCCACUGUUUGCUGUUGUGUCUCUGUAGUGAAUUUAUAAAACUCAGUUAUUAUAUUCUUCAACUCUAUGAUUUCUGUUGCGUUUUUAAAAAUAGUUUUUAUCUCUUUGUUGACAUCUUAUUUUGCUCAAUCAUUAUUUUAAAAUUUC